GCACCUGAAAUCUAUUAUUUUCUUGCUUGAUCGGAC
rnacentral:sRNA from 1 species